UUUGUACUUGGGUUCCUAUAA
rnacentral:piRNA from 1 species